GAUGAACGCUGGCGGCGUGCCUAAUACAUGCAAGUCGAGCGAACGGACGAUAAGCUUGCUUCUCUGAUGUUAGCGGCUGACGGGUGAGUAACACGUGGAUAACCUACCUAUAAGACUGGGAUAACUUCGGGAAACCGGAGCUAUACCGGCUGAUAUUUUGAACCGCAUGGUUCAAAAGUGAGAGACGGUCUUGCUGUCACUUAUAGAUGGAUCCGCGCUGCAUUAGCUAGUUGGUAAGGUAACGGCUUACCAAGGCAACGAUGCAUAGCCGACCUGAGAGGGUGAUCGGCCACACUGGAACUGAGACACGGUCCAGACUCCUACGGGAGGCAGCAGUAGGGAAUCUUCCGCAAUGGGCGAAAGCCUGACGGAGCAACGCCGCGUGAGUGAUGAAGGUCUUCGGAUCGUAAAACUCUGUUAUUAGGGAAGAACAUAUGUGUAAGUAACUGUGCACAUCUUGACGGUACCUAAUCAGAAAGCCACGGCUAACUACGUG
rnacentral:rRNA from 1 species